GGCGGGAAGUAAAAUUAGUAGCAGUAAUACCCCGACCAGUCUCACAGCACCAGCAGUAGGGAUAAGACUUUCACCAGGAGUGGGUCAUAACAAUAGUAGUAGUAACGCCUUCUCCAGUCUGGUAGCGACACCAGGAGGAUUAAACCCACUCCGCGUGGAACCCUCAGCUCUAAAGCAGUUGUUAGCAGAUGAUCACAUUAGGAUGAGCAACACUGAGAAAGAGCUGGUGUAGUCAUCUCUGAGGAGGACAGGAACACCAUAAUGAUGAUGGAUCUCCUUAAUGACGCACCUACGUCUCCAUCUCUGCAGACAACCCGCUUACCGAAACGUCUUCAGAAACCGACCAGUAUCUUCAAACGUUCUGAACGAGGAAGGAGGCUUACAAACCCGCUACCUGCCAACCCAAAACGACGUGAUACCAAUGAGACGUAACGACCAGCGAGAACUGGGGGAGACUUCAUAAACUGAGGAGACUGAAAUAUGGACAGGAAACAGAGCUGUUAAGACACAUUCUGAAUAUUAUACAAUGAAUAAACCAUAUGCAAAAAGGAUCUUGACUACGAAAUACUUUACGAUAUUUGAAGAUUCAUUUAAGAUACACACCUUAGGCCCUGCUUAGGCCCACAUUGGGCCUGAGCAGAACCCACUUCUGAUCAAGUAUAACAACGCAGAAAACGUUCAAAAAUUCUUGAUCAGUGGCGGAAUUAAAAGGGACGAACUAUAGACUAGAUAUUUUAUUUAACUAGAAGAGAAGCAUUAGAUAUAUAAUAGUCUAACAAAAUACUGAGGAUAUUAGAGUAAAUAGGACUGAGCUCCAGGGAAAGGAAACCAGUGAACACAGAUGGCAGCUCAAGACGUAAUGUGGUAAAUGACACGUACUAUAUAAGAGGUACAAGGCAAACUGCCUUACAUAGUUUCAAGAGUAGGUAUAAGAGGGACCUGGAGGCUAGAAAUCUGAAAUAUGGUAAAGGGAUAGAGCUGUGGCUCCACCGCCUGCAAACAAGAGUACGUCUUAGAGAGUACAAACAUGCUCGCGAAAUGAAAGGAAACCCAGAAUAUGGAGGUCCAACGUAUUGGAAAUUUCUGAAUGCCGUCUCAUGAACUGCCAUGUGGAAGAAAUUUUAAUGGUUUUCCCAGAGGAUUACUAGUAAAGGUUCUCUCGCUCUACUUCUCCCCCCUCUUUCUCCCUCCAGCUGUAUAGUCCUUGUGGCUUAGCGCUUCUUUUUGAUUAUAAUAAUUUCUCCCUCCAGCUCUCUACUCUACCUCCUCUCCCUCCCUCCCUUUCCUUCCCUCUUUUCUUCACCCUCUCACACGCAAGCGGAUCCUCCAGAUCGGCAUUAAUUAUAUGUACGACAUAAGUUGUAAAUGGCAACUUGCAUCUCUAUGGUAAACUGAUAAUUUAAAUCAUCGUAAAUAUAUCAUUUGUGGAAUAAUAUAUGAUCAGGCCAUCAAGAGGCAUGGUCUGGGGGGCCAGGCCGUUACCGGGAGGUUACCUGGAGGUUAUUCCGGGGAUCAACGCCCCCGCGGCCCGGUCCACGACCAGGCCUCCCGAUGGAUCAGGGCCUGAUCAACUAGGCUGUUACUGCUGGCCGCACGCAGUCCAACGUACGAGCCACAGCCCGGCUGAUCCGGCACUGACUUUAGGUAUCUGUCCAGCUCUCUUGAAGGCAGCCAGGGGUUUAUUGGCAAUUCCCCUGAUGCUUGAUGGGAGGCUGUUGAACAGUUUUGGGCCCCGGACA